CGAUGAAAAAGGCAAACUCGUCGAAAGGCGGGGACGCAAAGCCACGGGUCUAAAGCUCUGACGGAAUCGGAGCCAGGACGGCUGGGUUGCCAUC
rnacentral:ncRNA from 1 species